rnacentral:lncRNA from 1 species
GAGGUAAUAUAAUCUUUCUGCCACUUCUCUUUUAGAUAAAGAAAAAUUUACUCUUAUUAUGAUUUUCUUUCUUAUUGCUGUGGGGGACACAUUAUUGUGUAAAACCUACCAACUUUUCUCAUGACCCAUGGACAGUGUAUAGGAUAAGGCAAGUUAGUGCACAACUUGUGCAUUGAAGGAUGUCUUCCAUUAUCAAGUUAACUUGCAUUGUGUAGCACAGGAUUUAGUGGACAUAUCAAAUUCCCUCCGUUAUCUUGAAACAACUGAAAUUCAUUCUUGAUCUUCCAUUUAUUGUUUAUGCUGGAUCAAAGUCAAAUUCAGCUUAAUGUAGAUCAGUGGAUACAAAUGCACAUCGUAUUUCAUUACUACGGAUGUGUGGCACUUAUGUGAAACUGUAUUUAUAAAGAUAUAUGCAUGUAGGCUGGUUACCUAUACAAGCAUGUACGGGUUUGCAUUAUGUAUUGGAUGUUUGAGACUAAAGUUUUUAACAGUAAACAUUCCUCAAGUAUAAAGUUCAAGUACAUCCUUAAUGUAUCUCAAUUGGCAAGAAACAUCCUUGAUGUAUCAGAAAAGAAAAUGAACUUCGAUCCAAAGUUAAAUAUCCAUCCAAACACCAACUAAAAAUAAAACACUUGCUAUGCUCGUGAUUCUCUUUUCAGAAAAAGAUAUAAUAGAAUAUGCCCUCUCCUCACCAUUUGAGCAACUCUAUCUUCUUCCUAAAUUUAAUAAAAACAUUCGAGAGGACUAAUGUAUUACAUGCUCAACUUUAUCCAAUCAUUCUAUUGUGUCCCUAUCAACCUUAUAGAUCUAAAAACUUGCUUCCUACGAGGAUUCCUCCAUAUAAAUAUGUACGAUUAUCUAUUAACUCACUUAGCAUUCUUUUGACUUGCCUGCAAAAAACAGCAGUACAAAGCCCAAAAAAGAAAAACUUGUUUCUGCUCAUCUGGUUCAACUUAAAAUUUGGAAUUACUACUCUAGUAAUGCUUCCAAAUUAUUGAUAAAGUUUGUCAGCUCUUUUCAAACUUUAAUUAUCUGAUACUCUUUUGUAUUCUUUCAUUUUUUGUUGCCUAGAGAAAUCUUCUACUGUAACAGUCCACUUGACUGAAAGUUUUUAAUGCUCAAUGUUUGUUUGCAAAUUUUUGUACAUUCAUGUAAUCUUUUUCUUGGAGUCGAAACUAUAUAAUUAGUCUGAUAGGCAUAAAAUAUCAUGGAGAUUGGAGAACGUUCUGUAUAUGCAAUCCCAGGUAAAAAUUGUAAACACACAUUAGUGCCUCUUUGAAGGAAAAACACUUUUGGGUUUUUCAAAAUUUUUGACCAAAUAGACUAUUAGCUAGCUUCCAGGCGUUUGUGUGACACGCUCAACUAAGUAAUCGAAAUAAGUGUUUAAAAUGUUGUGUUAUGAAGGGUUCAGGGGUUCACAUGUCAAAGGACUAAGUAAAAGUGUCCACAAUACGAACUCAGACAAGUACCAGGGUCCAGUAGAUCAUUUUGCAUUAGUUACAUCAGUUAAGAGUCACCUGGUUUUGUUUCCAUAUGUACAUAAGUAGCUAGUAAAUUUCAUUCAAGCAUAUGGUGCAACUAUGACUCUCUAGUAGUGGUUACAUGUUAUACCCUGUGGGUCUAUGAGAAUCUCAUUCCAUAGUCCGUCACCUCUAUUUGUGUUUAAUUUACUGUCAAUGAAAAACUCUAAUGAAAUUGUGGAAUGCUUUGGAGAUGUUCAGUUGGGCAUAUUGUAUUUGUAUCAGAUCUUUCUGCCAUCUUUUCUGGCAGACUUAGAUUUGGAAAUGCUAGGCUACGACGUGCUUGAAAUUGGCUGAUGUUAGACAUGAACUGUGUGUCGGCUUCGUGAUAUCUGGGCCUAUUGUCUCGCUGACAUUUUCUGUGUCUUGUAUUACAGCAUUGUUAAGAGACAAGCUUCAUCUACGAUGAAGGCUUUGGUUGACUUCUGGCAACUUGCAUUCUCGUAUCAAGUGAACCCUCUUGCUGCUGUUCAACCACUCCCGCCUGCAACACGUGGAAGCCGGUGAUGCACAAUUUGGUUCCUCGUAGUUGCUCAAAACCAGAGCUGUUACUUGUAGAUAAAAAUAAAAGAUUACUGAAGCUGUUGCCACUAUCACAUCUGAAGUUGGAGAGGAACAUGCAGAAAAAUAAUAAAGUUUGCUUCAAGGUUGCAUUCUUCGCCAAUGGAGUACUGUGUCAUACCUUAACUGUCUUAGCAAAGAGGAGUCUCAGAUUUCUCAACUUCAUGCAGUAGUAGUGUGUUGCCAUUCAUUUUAUUCCAAUCUUUUAAACUAUUGUCGAAAGAUUGUGUAUAAAGUGCCUUUGUGUCAAGGUUUGUUUUAACCCUUCCAUGUCAUUCAUAUAUAAAGUGUUGAGCUGUGAUGAAAUCUGUUUUGAUAAUGGACAGAGACUAUUGGAAGAACCAGGUCUCUUGACACAGUGUUGGUGACAUCAUAGUAAGGUACUGAUCAUACUGCUGAACGAACAGAAGAGAGGCAGCUAACACUGUUAUAUGCAAGUAGGACUGACUGCGUAGGAAGAAAAAGUUGGUACGAGAUCCGAUCUCGAAAUAGGAAUAUAAUCAACCAAGAGGAAACUGCACGAAAUUACAAUGAUAUAUGAAGGAAUUUAACCACCUAAGAAUUGGCUGAUGCACUUCAUUUAUUUUCUUGGUAUCCUACUGUUGCUUGAUGAAUAAAAUCAGCCUAAAGCAUGACGAUACCUCCCUCACAAAACAUCAAGGAUUGAGAUGAAAAUCAUGGCCGUUUGACCUCCCAAAUAUCCUAUUCCACCCCAAGGGCCCACUAGUCUUGUCGAUUUUCGGUCAAAAAUAUGCUCGGCCAUCAAGCCCACACCGAUUGUCUCGAAAAUGGCUUGUUUGCACCGUUUCGCUCGUUUGACCACCCAAAUAGCCUAUCCCAUACUAAGGGCCCACACUAGGUCGCUCCACAGCAUUCCGGGGCAGCUUGAUCGAUUUUUGGCAAAAAACACGCUCGUCUUUCGGACCCACCUCAAAAAAUCGUGGGUUAUAGCAUACAGAUUUGACCCAAAAAUGGCCCGUUCACGCCGUUUCGCCCGUUUAACCACUCAAAUAGCCUAUCCCGACCCAAGGGCCCACACUAGGAUGCUCCCCAGCCUACUUGGGGCUGGUCGGUCGAUUUUUGGCCAAAAACAUGCUCAACCCCCGAGUCCACCCCGAUAAUCGCGGGCUAUAGCACACUGAUUUGUCCCGAAAAUGGCCACUUUGCGCCGUUUCGCUCGUUUGAUCACCCAAAUGGCCUAUCCAGCCCCAAGGGCCCAUACUAGGCUGCUCCUCAGCCUGCUUGGGGCAGCCAGCCAAUUAUCGGCCAAAAACACGCCUUGUUUCCAGGCCCAUCCCGAAAAUCGUGGACUACAAUCCUAAUUUAAAAAACUCAGACUCCAAAGAAAUUUUCUUUAUUGGAAAUAUAAUGAUAUGUUUGUAUGACUACUACCGUUCAGAAACAGCAAAACUCCAAUAUUUCUUUUAUUCUUUUGAUAAUAAAGCAAUAAAAAUCCAGCCUUUAGCUCAACAAAAACAAAGAGUCCAACGCAGAAAUCGAGGGGGUAAAUUAGUCAAUAUACCUUCGAGAAUCUUCAGGAAAAACUGAACGGGAGGUAUCGUAUCCAAGGUGUAAAAGGAGUGAAUGAAGGAUUCGAAAGCUGAGCUGAAAACUGAAGAAUCGGAAAUUGGUUGUUGACGGCGGCGACGGCGGCGGAGGACGGCGAUGCUGAAAGGGAUUUGCUUCUGCAAUCCAUAAACGGUUAAUGAAUUUUCCGAUUGAAUCUCCGGCGACCGGCGAGAAGUAAAGAGAAAUUGAUUGAAUCUCCGGCGACCGACGAGAAGACGAGAAAUUGAAAAAGGAGAGGAAAUAGAGAGGAGGAGAAGAAGAAAAAGUAAUAAUAUAUUGGAACCAAAUGGAGAAUAAAUAAAAUAACAGAAAAAAUGUCAAUAACUCAACUGCCACAAUUAUUAUUAUUCUUUAUGAGUGGAGAGUAGAGGUACACCGAUGAAAGAUUGGAGGAAGAUGCUUAGAUAUAAUAUGAAGCAGUUACAUUUUAUUAAAAAUAUAACAGAAAGUUUAGGUUAAAACGUUAAUAGGAUGGGGGCUGAUAGUUAUAGCAUUUUAGGGGUAGUGUCUGUUUUUAGAAUUUUUAGGUGUUUUUUUAUGAUUUCAAACUAUUGUUUGUUGUUUUGUUACUACUUUUCGUUUCUUGUUUUUAUAUUAUAUUUUUUUC